rnacentral:rRNA from 1 species
AGAGUUUGAUCAUGGCUCAGGAUGAACGCUAGCGGCAGGCUUAACACAUGCAAGUCGAACGGCAGCAGGUCCUUCGGGAUGCUGGCGAUGUGGCAAACGGGUGAGGAACACGUACGCAACAUGCCCUUUUCUGGGAGAUAGCCCGGAGAAAUCCGGAUUAAUAUCCCAUAGCAUCACAGGCUGGCAUCAGUCUAGUGAUUAAAGAAUUUCGGAAAAGGAUUGGCGUGCGUCCCAUUAGGUAGUUGGUUUGGGGUAACGGCCCACCAAGCCGACGAUGGGUAGCUGGUGUGAGAGCAUGACCAGCCACACGGGCAUUGAGACACGGGCCCGACUCCUACGGGAGGCAGCAGUGAGGAAUACUUGGGCAAUGGACGAAAGUCUGACCCAGCCAUGCCGCGUGAAGGAUGAAGGCGUUCUGCGUUGUAAACUUCUUUUAUUAGGGAAGAAACCGCUGAUUUCUAUUGGCGUUGACGGUACCUAAGGAAUAAGCACCGGCUAACUCCGUGCCAGCAGCCGCGGUAAUACGGAGGGUGCAAGCGUUAUCCGGAUUUACUGGGUUUAAAGGGUGCGCAGGCGGGCUGUUAAGUCAGUGGUGAAAUCUCCGGGCUCAACCCGGAAACUGCCUCUGAUACUAUCAGUCUUGAAUACUGUUGAGGUGGGCGGAAUAGGUCAUGUAGCGGUGAAAUGCAUAGAUAUGACAUGGAACACCAAUUGCGAAGGCAGCUUACUACACAACGAUUGACGCUGAGGCACGAAAGCGUGGGUAGCGAACAGGAUUAGAUACCCUGGUAGUCCACGCCCUAAACGAUGAUUACUCGACAUACGCGAUACACAGUGUGUGUCCAAGCGAAAGCAUUAAGUAAUCCACCUGGAAGUACACCGCAAGGUUGAAACUCAAAGGAAUUGACGGGGGUCCGCCACAAGCCGGUGGAGCAUGUGGUUAAUUCGAUGAUACGCGAGGAACCUUAC